GGGGGCAUGCAUAACAUAACAUAACCGCGUAAGGUGUAGACGGAGACAAAAUUGAAAAUCCAGAUUAGUUGAGCGGAGAGAGACUUUGAAGUUGUGUCGUGUGGCGUUUCUGGCUGCAAUCACAGUCUCUUCCACUUUUCAAUUUCAUUCUUUAAUCAGUCAAUCGGCAUCCUCAUGUCCGACGCUUAUUGGAGAUACGCCGCCGAGUCCCGGCAGGCCCCCUCUUCCAUCGCCGGCAAGCGCUCUCGUUCCGACUACGAUGUUUCUGGCGUUCAUGACUUGCCCAGUUACUUUCCCCAUGACGAUGAUAGAGGAGGGCUCCGAGUAAUUAGAGAUACUGAAUCCCUUGAUGCAUCUUAUGAGCGUUACCUCCGUAGUGCGCAAGUUUCAUCAUAUGGUUCGGGACAGUCUACUAGAACCAUUGGUGGGCGAAUUCCCAAUCGUGCUAUUGAUGAUUCACAUGUUGCCAAUAUUGGGGGAGUCGACAGGGGAACAAAUGCAAAAGACAAAAUGCCGGGAUUAAGUAGUGGAAGGGCUGACCAUUCUCUUCCACCAGAUGCUACCAGUACACUGUUUGUGGAGGGUUUGCCUUCCAACUGUACAAGACGGGAAGUAGCUCAUAUUUUUCGUCCUUUUGUUGGCUACAAAGAAGUCAGACUUGUCAGCAAGGAAUCAAGACAACCGGGGGGUGAUCCACUGGUACUUUGUUUUGUCGAUUUUAUGAGUCCAGCUCAUGCAGCAACUGCCAUGGAAGCAUUGCAGGGUAAGGUUACAAAUUUGAUGAGCUUGACCGCAACUCGGUCAACUUAAGGUUUCAAUUUGCUCGCUAUCCUGGUGCGAGGUCAGGUGGCGUGCAUCGUGGCAAACGUUGAAUUAUGCAAUCUACAGGAUUCACUCACGUUGGGGAGGUUAUGAUUUUGAGAGGCAAGUGACCAGCGUCGCAGUCAUUAGGACCAAGUCGAACAUUGUGGUAUUCGUGUGGGGAGUGCUCGCUAGAGAUUCAGAUUCUGCCUGUUUGAGAAAAUUGUCUAAUUUAUUUAGUAUAAAUUCAAAUUGUCUUGUUCGAAACAACGUAUGUCUUUGAAGGUGUUCACUGCUCUUUCGAAUAUAUCCAAUAUUUAAUACUGAGAAGCAUGUUCUCCAUGCAUGUUUCUACUUUCUAGUGAGCCUUUUAGAUAUCAAAUAUCGUUAAUUGUUGAUUUUAUUAGAUUACUAUAAUUAGACAAAUAUCGGUGCACUCACUCUAGAAUUUUUUGCCCUCAAUACAUAUUUUUCUGCUUAA